rnacentral:rRNA from 1 species
GACGAACGCUGGCGGCGUGCUUAACACAUGCAAGUCGAACGGAAAGGCCCUGCUUUUGUGGGGUGCUCGAGUGGCGAACGGGGGAGUAACACGUGAGUAACCUGCCCUUGACUGUGGGAGAACUUCAGGAAACAGGGGCGAAUACCGGAUAGGAGCUCCUGCUGCAUGGGGGGGGUUGGAAAGUUUCGGCGGUUGGGGAUGGACUCGCGGCUUAUCAGCUUGUUGGUGGGGUAGUGGCUUACCAAGGCUUUGACGGGUAGCCGGCCUGAGAGGGUGACCGGCCACCUUGGGCCUGCGAUACGGCCCAGACUCCUACGGGCGGCAGCAGUGGGGAAUCUUGCACAAUGGGCGGAAGCCUGAUGCAGCAACGCCGCGUGCGGGAUGCCGGCCUUCGGGUUGUAAACCGCUUUCGCCUGUGCCGAAGCGUGAGUGACGGUAAUGGGUCAAGAAGCACCGGCUAACUACGUG